rnacentral:miRNA from 2 species
UAUUGCAUCUAUAGACUGAGCUU